AUUAGAACCCCAGUAGUCAAAGCAGAAAAUGAUGAAUGUCAUAGAUUAGAUAAACAAUUUAUUCUAUAAAUGAAAGUGUAAGCAUUCCACCUCAAGAGUAAUUUGGCAACAUUGGAACUGAAAUCAUUAGACCGUUUCUGAAACCAGUAGUGAAGUAUGUUGUUUAAUUUGAUGAUACGCAAAAAACCUUACCACAAUUUGAAUAUUUAUAUAUAUCUUUAUUGGUUUUUACUAAUAUAUUUGUAAAUAAUCAAAAUGAUGCUUAUACCCCGUUUGUGAAACUAAGCAUCAAAAAAGAUAAUAUAUUUACAAGCGUUGCACGGCUGUCUUCAGUUAAUGUCGUGAGAUUUUGGUUAGUUCCAUUAAAUUAACGUAAACCCUUACUUUAUUUUUAUAUAAAGUAGUUCUCCGCUAUAUUGGAUAUGAUAACAGGGACUAAGACAAG
rnacentral:rRNA from 1 species